rnacentral:rRNA from 1 species
UACGGGGGGGGCAAGCGUUGUUCGGAAUUACUGGGCGUAAAGGGUCCGUAGGUGGCUUGCUAAGUCAGACGUGAAAUCCCUCGGCUUAACCGGGGAACUGCGUCUGAGACUGGCGAGCUUGAGUGCAGGAGAGGAACGCGGAAUUCCAGGUGUAGCGGUGAAAUGCGUAGAUAUCUGGAGGAACACCGGUGGCGAAGGCGGCAUCCUGGACCAACACUGACGCUGAGGAGCGAAAGCCAGGGGAGCAAAGCGGG